UCUUAUAUGCAGGAUGAUCGUAGGCGACCCCUGUGAAAGGGUCAUUCGACCGCCAAAGGGGUCACGACCCACAGGUUGAGAACCGCUGGGAUAGAGGGACAGCUGCCAAUGUCCAUGUGCUGAGUCCCUCUCUUACGCUACUCACAGAUGCCAUCUUUCCUGGGUCAAGCAUUCCCCUCCAUAUGGCAUCAGCCUCGGGGAAUGCGCUUGCCCCACCCUCUCGACUCCCAGUGGCCCUGCCCUGCCAAGCUCUUGCCCUAUGGAGGAGUCUGCUGGCUGCAACCAGCCUGGGCCUGCUUUGCAGUUUUUCUUGGAAGGCUCUCAAGGAGGUUCGGGCAGACUUGGGAGGUGAUAGAGACACACAGGAAGAGACUGAGUUGUGUGACUUUGGGGCGAGGGCCAUUUUCCCCUGCAUGCCCCGAGCAGUGCCACUGUUCCUGUACAAAGCCCUCUCUCCAUAGGGCCAAAUCUUAAUCUCUUUUAGCCUGAUGAACUCUGCUGGCACCAGCCAGAUGACUCCCUGAGACCCUGGCCCACUGCAAAAAUCCACAGGCCCCAGGCAGGUGGCAGCCGGCCUUGAUGAAUCCUGAGACUUUUGCCGAGUUUGAAUCUACAUCAACGCAGUGAACACCACUCACCCCUACCUGGUGACACUGAAACUGCCUCACAAAUCUCAGGCUCUGCUCUGCUUCCUGACUCAUUCUUUGGACACUACUGCCAGAAUCUUCUCCAGGUUAUGACUCAACGUUGACUCUUUUGGCCAUAAGGGACUGUGCUGAACCUCUGAAUCCACAAUGACCAAGAAAACUGACAAGGUUCCAGUCCUCCUGCAACUUACACUCUGGAAGAAAGGAGAUGAAAAGACAACAUCUCUGCUUGGUUGAUGGACUCAAGGAACAAGAAAGUUUCCCUUUACCUUCCUUAUCAGCGACGAAUGAUGCUCGUUCCACCUACCUCAUCCUUUUUUCAUACAGCAGAAGAAAAAAGAUGAAUUACUGUUUUUAUUUAGUUAUUUGCAUAACAGUUAAACAUGCAUAGUUUCAAGAAUAGAAUAGUUUUAUAUUAUUUAAUAGCAGUCCCCCAUUUCACCUCCUCCCAUUUCUCAUUCCUUAGAUAAAACCACUUCCAAUGCUUUAAUUAAUGACCCUCCCCUUUCUUACGUAUCACCAUCUCUCUAAAACUGCUACUUCCUAAAAUCUAUUGGCUUUCCACUGUGGAAAAUGGAGAUUUAGCUUCCACGCCUCCUAUACUACACACACACACACACACAUAUAUUUUCUGGCUUACAUACCUGUAUUAUCAUUAGAUUGAUACUCAGUGUUUUUAUUAUUUUGACCAAAUAAAUACUAUUCACAUCUGUGUGGUAUAAUAAAUUAUGAUCAAUUUCCCAAGUAACAUUUUGCUUUCUCUGGAGUUAAUAAUUGUGUCAUUUUUCAUUUGCCUAGAUUUUCCUCUGCAUGUGUCACUAAUUGAAUCCCUACCUACUCUCUCCUUCUGAUCUGUUCCUAUCUGGGCUGAUUAAUCUCUAGGCUUGCUGUUGAAGGGAACCAACGUUUUGCCAUUCUAAAGCUGCCUUUGGGACAUUCAUUUUAAGCUGUUUAUUAAGAAACGAGACUCACCUAUCCGGUGUUGCUCAGUGGUUGAGCAUGGAUCUCUGAACUGGGGAAAUCAGGGUUCAAUUCUUG